GGGAAGGAGGGGAGCCUAGGCCCGGCGUGGGGAGGCCGGCAGGAAGGGCCUCGAGCCCAGUGCGGACCUUUCUUCAGCCUCUGUGCGACCGAGCCGCGCGCCAGGCUCCUGUGCGAGGAGGACGCGCUGACUCCCUCCGACCUGGGCUCCGAUGGAGCAGAAAUAGCGGGACCUGGACUUGUGGCGCGCCUGGUGCCACAUCUCGGGCUCUGCGAGCGUCCUGGCGCGGGAUCCUGCCUAAUGUCUUACAAUAACAGAAUGCAGGAGAGCACAUAUCAAUGAAGAAAAGACAAAAUGUACUUAUCCAUGAAGCUGAGGUUAAGAAACCAGUGUCUUCAAGAGCCAGGGACAGCACUGGGUCUGUGCAGAGUUGAGAGAUGGUGAUGACAUGUGGUUUCCAGCAUUCCUCACCCAGUCCAGGGACACUGUGGGUGUGCCCAGCUUAAGUCCAGUAACUGGAAAUACAAGCCCAAGUUCUGGAGAGUUUGAGCUGCAGAGAUAUAUAUGGGAACACUUUGAAUCUUGACUCAUUGGCCAUAACCAGCAGAGUGGAAAAUACAAGAAGAGAAAAAAACAUUGAACUGCGAUUUUAUAACAUCCUUUACUAGGCAGAGAGAAGAGGAAACACCAGGAAAGAAAACUGUAUUACGAUGUGAAAACUUAAUGUUGAGAAAUUCAGGCAUCUUGGGGUUAGUGAGGAGAAGUUUUAGGGGCUUAGAUUCUUCUAAACACAUGUACAGAAAUGCAUAUUUCAUCUGAUAUCAAAUGGCAUUUAUAGUGCUAAUCUUUACCUCAAGACUUCACAUCUUUUGGUGAUUGCAUCUUUUAGGUUUAUAGCAGCUAAGUUUGCAUGAAAACACCAGGGCUGUUUCAUUUCAGUCAAGAAUUAAUGUUCAUUGAUUGUGCUUCUGCAUUUCAUGUAACUAUUGUAGAAUUUGUUUUAGUUUUAUGAGGGAAUAAUUGUUCCAACUUCUAUAUAACUCAGGAAUUUACUCUCAAACAACACUGUCAAUUAGUUACUUAUCUCUCUGGAAAUGAUCUGGGAACAUGGAGAGGAAAGGGAGGAAGGGGCAAAAUCUGACCACUUAAAUCUAAGCAUAUUAGAUCAUUUUAUGCUAGAAAGUCCUGAAUGAUGUGACUUUCGUUCUUGUAAAACACCUCUUUCCAUAGAUUCAUGGCCCAAACAGUAUAUAAAGAGUGGGGAAGGAACUGCAUUUGCAAAUAGUUCAAAUCAUUGCUCCAUCUUAACUACGCAGUUCACAAAGUGUGAAGAAAUGUGAUCAUCUCAAAAAAGAUAAUGGGGAAAAAAUAUGUUUUGUUCUGUGACUUUAAAGUCUUGCAAUAUUUUACAUAAAUGAUAAUGGGUGCUUUAAUAAGAACUCUUGAUACUUUUGUUAUUGUAUUCAAUAUAUGCAUAUAAUACAACAGGAUGAUAUUGUUUUGGAUUUGGAAAUGUAUUCUUUCUUAUGCAAUCUUAUGCAGUCAUACUGCUUGAAUAUCAUUACCUGAAUUUAUCUUUCUUUUUUUUGUUGUUGUUUUACACUCUACUUAUUUGGUGCCUGUCAGUCUUUUGUCGUCAGUUUAUAUUCUACUAAACUCAAAAAGACAAUCUCAUACCUUUUGUAAUUGUAGGCAUUCUUUACUAGAUUUUUAAAUACACUUCAAAAAUUCAAGUACUUUGAUUUCAUGCCAUCAAGUAGCUGAAUCUAUCCCCCCGUCUCUUUUUAAAUUUAAGUGAGUAGUUCAAUUUCUGUCACUUUCUACUUUGUGAAUUCUAAAUCUUUUAAAACCAUCUUGCCAUUUUUCGUGCACUUACCCUUACAGAAAACUCUGUGAAACACUACUUAUCUCUACUUUUAUGUUUUUAACUCCUUUUUUAUAUUACUAUUCCCUCUGCUUUCUAAAUGCACAUAUUAAUUUGUUCUUUUUAUUCUCUGUAGCUCUUCUCAGUGUAUGAAUUCAGUUUCCCAUCAGUCUCCAUACAAUUAAAAAAAAGUUGAGUAUUCUGUUAUUUUAAUAAGAUAUCUAGUGCCCAUAUUCUAAUUCUGCCCCUUAUUUUUAAUAUAAUUUUAUUGUUGAUUUAAAAUGACAACAGUUUCAAUUCCCAGAAAGUGAAAGGAAACAAAGGAAUAAUAUUAUAGGCUUAAUUUUUAUCAGUGAACUUGUAGGUGAAGAAAAGAUUUGGGGAAGGAAAUGAACAUAUUAUAUUGCAAAAUAGUAAGGAACAAUCAGAUGUGUUUUCUAGUCUCUGGAAAAGCAUGUUUCAAGAAAUUCAAUGAAAAGUUCAUCAUGCUUGCUUAGAUUGUUGAGAAGCAAAAACACUGAUGAACAUUUGGAAGCAAUGAGAAUGUAAUUCUAAUCAUACUCUUUUAAUAAUGUUGCAAAACUCUCCAAACACUACUCUGUGUGGAUGUCUUUCAGAAUAUGAUGAAUACUAGUAGUCUUAUUCUGCCCUUUUCUCUCUAUCACAAUAUAUACAUUCUAUAUUGCAUACACAUAUUUUCCAAAUAUUACAUAUAAUUUCAUGUAAUUUAUAGACCUAUUAAGGCCCAACCAUUUUCUUGGAUAGGGGAUUCUUUAGAAGUCCAGCUUAAAUAAAGCCCGUAUAGAAAGUUUUUUUAAAAUUUAUACAUAAUCACCUAAAGUAACCUUAUCUACUGAACUCUUAGUACAUGCUACUGGAACCUUUUAUCAUGUUUCUUCCUGGCUUGCAUUACAACACUGUUGACAUAUCUCAGCCUUACUUCUAGGCUUCUUUGAGAGCAUGACUCAUGUUUGUAUUCCUCACUGAGGUUGAAUGAAUAAGAGAAACUACAGUAGUAGGAAAAAACAGUACAUGUACAUAUCAAUGAAUAUGAAAGGGUCAAAUGGAUCUAUUAUAGUAAGCACAAAAUCAACUGACACCAGCAAAGUAAACCCAAAAUUUUUAAUGGUAUUUUAAUAGAUCAAGAGGAGCAAGCAGAUUUUUGAGACAGUUGUCUCCUACUUUCUCUAUCACAGGGAGUAAUUUUAAAAGAAAAAUGGAGGGUAAGUUUCUUUAAGAGAAAAUUGUAGUUUAAAACAGGUCAUGGGAUAAUUAGAAAUAAUUUAAUUUCUUUAGAGGAUUUUAAUCUUUCAACUGCUUGCAAUUAGAUCCUAAGGCAAUAAAAGAAUAAGGAGAUUUGGAAAACCAUUGUCUGUAAUCUCUGAAGAAAAGUGGACAUUAGGGGAGUCAGUUGAAAAGCAAAGCUAUCACCAUUUUCUAAAGAGGAAAAAGGUGAACCUCACAAACUAUAGACCAAAAAAAUAGGACAUCGAGAGAAAGAAUAUGAAGCUAGCAUAGGUUCACAAAGAAUGAGUCAAAUCAAACAACAUGCAUUUUUUAUUUAUAAAGCAUGACUUGUUCAUUGUCAAUUCAUGUUAGCUUAAUCAUUAGGCAUUAAUGCCAUCACUGCAAUGCAUAUGUCAGCAAUAAAUAAUCAAAGACCAGGCUUCCAUCAUUCUGUUUAAUAUCUUCAAGUAAUGCUUAAGUUUGCAAAUGCUCUUUUAACACAUUCUCCAUAUGCAGCCUGCCCAGCACUGCACACAAUAGACCUGUUACUUCCCCCUCACGAGCACUCCUAAUAUUUCAUGUGCUCAUCCAAUUGACUUCUCCCACUGGUGCCUCAUAUUGAAUUUGUAGAAUCACACCUGCUCCUUUUUCAAAACUCUUCUGAGUUUUUUCUUAAAUAAUUCACUGACCCCAAAGUUGUCAGAUAUUUGAAGACUACUCGCACAAUUUUAAUAUUAUAAAUGUAUAAUGUAAAUGUAAUUAAGAUUUGUAUAAUGUACGAUGUACUUUGGUAAAUAAAAGUAUGCUGUGAAUAAAUACGUAUGAUACAAUUCAAAAUUUUACAUAAAUAUGUGAUAAAAUUUAGCUCAUAUUCUUUUUUUUUUUCUUUGAGACGGAGUCUCACUCUGUUGCACCCAGGCUAGAGUGCAGCAGCAUGAUCUCAGCUCACUGCAACCUCUACCUCCUGGGUUCAAACAAUUCUCCUGCCUCAGCCUCCUGAGUAGCUGGGAUUACAGGUGCCCGCCACCAUGCCCAGCUAAUUUUUUUCUAUUUUUGUUGUUGUUGUUGUUUUUAGUAGAGACGGGGUUUCACCAUGUUGGUCAGGCUGGUCUUGAACUCCUGACCUCAGAUAAUCCACCUGCCUCGGCCUCCCAAAGUUCUGGGAUUACAGACGUGAACCACGGUGCCCGGCCUAGUUCAUGUUCUUUAAGGACAAUUAUGAAUAUUUUUAUGCACUGUUAAUUUUCAUUAAGAUAUUGAUCAAUUAAUAGCUAUAUAUGUUCUAUAAAUUAAUCCUAUCUAGUUUCAAUCUUAAAUUGUUUGCAUAUACCAAUCUAGUUUAUUGUUUGCAUAUAUUUUAUAGUGUAGAGAUUAGGCAUUUUAAUAAAAUUUUAAAAUUUCCAGGACAUACUGUUAAUGACUAUGCUUCCUACUAUAGGCCAUAAUUAAUUUUUUUCUAUUGUCAACAAUAUUUUGGUAGGGAUGAUCAGGAAAUAAGGAAAUGUUUCCUUCAUUUGUUAACAAUAGGUGUUUGGGGAUUUUAAAAUGAAAAUUGAAGAAGUAAAAGACACCAUAUAUUUAGUUUGUUUGAUUUCGUGGCUUCAAGAGUUCAAUAAUUUAUUGAAAUAUUUUACAGACCAAAGAACAACAGAUAUAUUACGUUUAUAAGCCCCCACAUAUUUUAAAGGAUAAUGGUUUAUAUAUGAAAAUUCCCUGAACCUACACUUCAUC
ensembl:lncRNA MAGI2-AS3 MAGI2 antisense RNA 3